rnacentral:rRNA from 1 species
CUCCUACGGGAGGCAGCAGKGGGGAAUAUUGCGCAAUGGGGGAAACCCUGACGCAGCAACGCCGCGUGGAGGAUGAAGGUUUUCGGAUUGUAAACUCCUUUUAGAGGGGAAGAAAACUAUUGCAUGAAUAAUGUGAUAGCUUGACGGUACCCUCARAAAAAGCCCCGGCUAACUCCGUGCCAGCAGCCGCGGUAAUACGGAGGGGGCAAGCGUUGUUCGGAAUUAUUGGGCGUAAAGGGCGCGCAGGCGGUAAGAUAAGUCAGACGUGAAAGCCCUCGGCUUAACCGAGGARUGUCGUUUGAAACUGUCUUGCUUGAGUACAGGAGAGGAGAGUGGAAUUCCCAGUGUAGCGGUGAAAUGCGUARAUAUUGGGAGGAACACCGGUGGCGAAGGCKGYUCUCUGGACUGUUACUGACGCUGAGGCGCGAAAGCAUGGGGAGCAAACGGGAUUAGAUACCCCGGUAGUCCAUGCCGUAAACGAUGGGCACUAKGUGUAGAGGGUUUCAACCCCUUCUGUGCCGAASCUAACSCAUUAAGUGCCCCGCCUGGGGAGUACGGCCGCAAGGCUAAAACUCAWAUGAKUUGACGGA